ACGCUCGACACCUACGGGGAGGCAGCAGGUGGGGAAUAUUGCACAAUGGGGGAAACCCUGAUGCAGCGACGCCGCGUGAAGGAAGAAGUAUCUCGGUAUGUAAACUUCUAUCAGCAGGGAAGAAGUGACGGUACCUGACUAAGAAGCCCCGGCUAAUUACGUGCCAACAGCCGCAGUAAUCUGAGCGGGCUGGCAAGGC
rnacentral:rRNA from 1 species